UACGUAGGGGGCAAGCGUUGUCCGGAAUUAUUGGGCGUAAAGCGCGCGCAGGCGGUUCUUUAAGUCUGGUGUUUAAGUGCGGGGCUCAACCCCGUGACGCACUGGAAACUGGGGGACUUGAGUGCAGGAGAGGAAAGCGGAAUUCCACGUGUAGCGGUGAAAUGCGUAGAGAUGUGGAGGAACACCAGUGGCGAAGGCGGCUUUCUGGACUGUAACUGACGCUGAGGCGCGAAAGCGUGGGGAGCAAACAGG
rnacentral:rRNA from 1 species